GCUAGGGGGGGUGCGAAGGCGAGAGAAAGAGAGCGAGGAAAAAUGGAAGGGGCGAGAAGAAAAUAGCUAUUUCUUUCUCGCCCUUCCCAUUUUUCCUCGCUCUCUUUCUCUCGCCUUCCCAUCCCCCCCCCUA